rnacentral:rRNA from 1 species
UGGGGAAUUUUGGACAAUGGGCGAAAGCCUGAUCCAGCAAUGCCGCGUGUGUGAAGAAGGCCUUCGGGUUGUAAAGCACUUUUGUCCGGAAAGAAAUCCUUGGCUCUAAUACAGUCGGGGGAUGACGGUACCGGAAGAAUAAGCACCGGCUAACUACGUGCCAGCAGCCGCGGUAAUACGUAGGGUGCAAGCGUUAAUCGGAAUUACUGGGCGUAAAGCGUGCGCAGGCGGUUUGCUAAGACCGAUGUGAAAUCCCCGGGCUCAACCUGGGAACUGCAUUGGUGACUGGCAGGCUAGAGUAUGGCAGAGGGGGGUAGAAUUCCACGUGUAGCAGUGAAAUGCGUAGAGAUGUGGAGGAAUACCGAUGGCGAAGGCAGCCCCCUGGGCCAAAUACUGACGCUCAUGCACGAAAGCGUGGGGAGCAAACAGGAUUAGAUACCCUGGUAGUCCACGCCCUAAAACGAUGUCAACUAGUUGUUGGGGGAUUCAUUUCCUUAGUAACGUAGCUAACGCGUGAAGUUGACCGCCUGGGGAGUACGGUCGCAAGAUUAAAACUCAAAGGAAUUGACGGGGUCAUAGCUGUUUCCU